GUCAACAUGGCGAUGUGAAGGCGUUCCUGUCAUAUUCGGCAUUCUCGGUUGUUUUCGACGACGACAGCAGUACACCUCGACAACACUUCGCUGCAAACGCCGUCAUCGCUAACAUGGGCACCAGAAAUGUGUAUAACUUUGACAUUGAACGAAUUCGGGAAGGGGAAUUCCCAACCCUUAAAGGACUCACAUAUGUUGACCAUGUUGGCACAACACUUUAUGCUCGGAGUCAGCUGGAAGCUUUCCACAAAGAUCUCUUCAGCAACCUCUACGGCAACCCCCACUCCCGCAGUCAGAGUAGCCGACUCACCACAGACACCAUCGACCAAGUCAGAUACAGGGUUUUGCAGUUUUUCAAUGCAUCAGCAGAAGAGUAUAGCGUUGUCUUCACAUCCGGCUGUACCCAGGCUCUCAAGCUUAUAGCCGAGACAUUCACAUUCCAUGAUGACACAACUCCUGAAGACCCAUCUCAGACCAGGGAUGGGGGUGGCAGCUUUGUGUACCUGCUGGACAAUCACACCUCGGUGCAGGGAAUGAGGGAGCUGGUCAGUGACAGGGUGGCCGGGGUAUACUGUCUGGAUGAGGAGGAGCUGGAUCAAGACAUCCCACAACACCUUAAUCAGAUCCACCUUAGAUGCCAAGCUUCCGAUCAAAACAGACCUGAAUCAAACCAACAAAGUGUUGAUGUGUCCACAGACAAGUGUAAUGUGCUCCCAUCAAACAAACUUAAUCAAAGCCAAGAUCAAUCUGACGAUACUGCAGUCCUGACAACUGUGGAUGUAUCUAGGUCAGGAGAAAAACAACAUGUGACUUCCAAAUGCCAUAAAAGCCGAACCAAAGAUCAAACAGGACUGUGUAAUUUGUUUGCCUAUCCAGCACAGUCUAACUUUUCUGGUAGAAAGUACCCUUUGAGCUGGAUAGACAGGGUCCAGCGAGGUGACAUGGGCUUCCAGAGCAAGUUGCCAGGGAAAUGGUACGUGGUUCUAGACGCUGCCAGCUAUGUGAGCACUUCCAAGCUGGACUUGAAAAAGCACAAGCCUGAUUUUGUGACGUUGUCUUUCUACAAGAUCUUUGGUUUCCCAACUGGUCUAGGUGCCCUCUUGGUCCGGGCUGACGCUGCUCCCCUGCUAAAUAAGCGCUACUUUGGAGGGGGCACUGUUUCCGUGAGCGAUGCAAGGGAGAGGUUCCAUGUACUGAAGCCCACACUAGCAGACAGGUUUGAAGAUGGCACCCUUCCAUUCCUGGACUUGAUUGCUCUGAGGCAUGGACUGGAUGCAGUACACAGGAUUGCUGGUGACAUGGACAGGGUGUCCAGCCACACCUUCACAGUCGCCAAGUUUUUCCAUGACCACCUUCGUCAGCUACGCGACGGUAAUGACACCCCUGUAGUUCGCAUCUACUGCCAGGGCUUCGAGGACAUACACACCCAGGGAGCCAUUGUCAACUUCAACAUCCUCAGGGACAAUGGAGAGUUUGUUGGCUUUGCUGAGGUAGACAAGAUGGCCCAGCUGCAGGACGUCCAUCUGAGGACCGGCUGCUUCUGUAACAUCGGGGCAUGUCAGAAAUAUCUCCACCUCACCUCUAAACAGAUCAGGGAAAACUUCCAGGCCGGCCAUGUCUGUGGAGAUGACCAAGACAUGAUUGAUGGUCACCCAACUGGAUCAGUCCGCAUCUCCUUCGGCUACAUGUCAACAUAUGGAGAUGCAGUACAGUGUCUGCGUUUUAUCACAGAAUACUUUCUUGAGGGACGGGCAAUCCCAGAAUUCCCUGUUCCAAUAUCCGUCAGUGUUUCCAAUGCCAGUCCAGCGAAGUCUUCAGUUCCUGAACUCAGUCAAACAUUAAAUUAUCCUGAAAGGCAGUUGCAAAAAGAGGAAGAGAACUUGAGGAAGAAGGAGGAAGAGGUCCUUGAAAAGUGUUCUGAAUCAUCUAGGUUCCUCACCAAGAUCUGUCUGUACCCUGUCAAGUCUUGUGCUGCCUUCCAGGUUUCAGCAUGGGAAGUUGGUCCUCGAGGGCUGCUGUAUGACAGAGAGUGGAUGAUUGUCAGUGAAAGUGGAGUCACCCUGGGUCAGAAGAGAGAACCAAAGUUGUGUCUCCUCCAGCCUUCCAUAGAUCUCCUAUUCAACACAUUCACCCUCAGCUUCCCAGAGACACAAUCCAUCACCAUUUCUCUGACAGCUUUGGACAGUAACAGUGUGGACUAUAAAGGACGGCUGUGUACCAACAAAGUUUGUGGAGACAGGGUGAACACUGUAGACUGUGGUGACAGAGUGGCUGACUGGCUGAGUGAGGCUCUAGGGAGACCUGGAACUCGACUUCUGAGACUGAAGCAGGAGGAUACACGGACUGGGAGGCUGAAGGAUGCUGCGACACAGGCUGCUUCGGACUCAACAAGACUGUCGCUGGCCAACGAAUCACAGUUCCUGCUCGUCUCCAGGGAGAGUGUGAAGUCUCUUCAGAAGAAGAUGGCUGACGAGGAUGACGCAGAUCAGGAGAAGAUAGGACAAUGUCAACGUCAUUUUGACACUGACAACUUGAUACAUCGUUUCCGUGGCAACCUGAUAGUUGGUGGUGGUUCAGGUUUUGAGGAGGAGAACUGGACACAAUUGAAGAUUGGGAACCAUGUUUUGAUCAGUCAGGGUCAGUGUAGCCGGUGCCAGAUGAUAUGCAUGGACCAAGAAACAGGGGAGAGAAGCAAGGAACCACUCCGCACUCUCUCUAUGUGGAGGGGCAAAAAGGUUCCAUUUGGUGUCUACAUGCGUCAGUUGUCUCCCAGUACCGAUUCCAGCAGUAUAACAAUUCUGCGGGUUGGGGAUCAAGUUGUCCCUGAGACUGAGAGCAAGGAGACCUAGAGUGGGCCAUGGUCUGGGAGGGGAUGAGUCAAGCUGGGCCAUAUUGUUUGGGCAUGAAAGUCAAGGACGGCUUCAGUGUUUGAAUGUGAGAGUCAAGAUCAGACACAGGGCUGGGGUAUGAAGGUCUAGGUGGGCUACUUAUCAGGUAUGGUCUGUUUGCA
rnacentral:misc_RNA from 1 species